rnacentral:rRNA from 1 species
ACAUGCAAGUCGAACGGUAAGGCCCCAGCUUGCUGGGGUACACGAGUGGCGAACGGGUGAGUAACACGUGGGUGACCUGCCCCGCACUUCGGGAUAAGCCUGGGAAACUGGGUCUAAUACCGGAUAGGACCGCACCGUGAGGGUGUGGUGGAAAGUUUUUCGGUGUGGGAUGGGCCCGCGGCCUAUCAGCUUGUUGGUGGGGUAAUGGCCUACCAAGGCGGCGACGGGUAGCCGGCCUGAGAGGGUGGACGGCCACAUUGGGACUGAGACACGGCCCAGACUCCUACGGGAGGCAGCAGUGGGGAAUAUUGCACAAUGGGCGGAAGCCUGAUGCAGCGACGCCGCGUGGGGGAUGACGGCCUUCGGGUUGUAAACUCCUUUCACCAUCGACGAAGGUUUUCUGACGGUAGAUGGAGAAGAAGCACCGGCUAACUACGUGCCAGCAGCCGCGGUAAUACGUAGGGUGCGAGCGUUGUCCGGAAUUACUGGGCGUAAAGAGCUCGUAGGUGGUUUGUCGCGUCGUCUGUGAAAUUCCGGGGCUUAACUCCGGGCGUGCAGGCGAUACGGGCAUAACUUGAGUACUGUAGGGGAGACUGGAAUUCCUGGUGUAGCGGUGAAAUGCGCAGAUAUCAGGAGGAACACCGGUGGCGAAG